rnacentral:rRNA from 1 species
UUCGCAAUGCCCGAAAGGGUGACGAAGCGACGCCGCGUGCGGGAAGAAGGCCUUCGGGUUGUAAACCGCUGUCGGGAGUUAAGAAAUGCAAGGAUGUUAAUAGCGUCUUUGCUUGACUAAGGCUCCGGAGGAAGCCACGGCUAACUCUGUGCCAGCAGCCGCGGUAAUACAGAGGCGGCAAGCGUUGUUCGGAAUUAUUGGGCGUAAAGAGCACGUAGGCGGCUGUGUAAGUCGGUUGUGAAAGCCUUCCGCUCAACGGAAGAACGGCAUCCGAUACUGCAUGGCUUGAGUGCGGGAAGGGAGAGUGGAACUUCUGGUGGAGCGGUGAAAUGCGUAGAUAUCAGAAGGAACACCGGCGGCGAAGGCGACUCUCUGGCCCGUAACUGACGCUGAGUGUGCGAAAGCUAGGGGAGCAAACGGGAUUAGAUACCCCGGUAGUCCUAGCCGUAAACGAUGGGCACUAAGUAGAGGGGUUUU